rnacentral:rRNA from 1 species
AUUGAACGCUGGUGGCAGGCUGUACACAUGCAAGUCGAGCGGGGAAGGGUAGCUUGCUACCUGACCUAGCGGCGGACGGGUGAGUAAUGCUUAGGAAUCUGCCUAUUAGUGGGGGACAACAUUCCGAAAGGAAUGCUAAUACCGCAUACGCCCUACGGGGGAAAGCAGGGGAUCUUCGGACCUUGCGCUAAUAGAUGAGCCUAAGUCAGAUUAGCUAGUUGGUGGGGUAAAGGCCUACCAAGGCGACGAUCUGUAGCGGGUCUGAGAGGCUGAUACGCCACACUGGGACUGAGACACGGCCCAGACUCCUACGUGAGGCAGCAGUGGGGAAUAUGGGACAAUGGGGGUAACCCUGAGCCAGCCAUGCCGCGUGUGUGAAGAAGGCCUUAUGGUUGUAAAGCACUUUAAGCGAGGAGGAGGCUACUGAGACUAAUACUCUUGGAUAGUGGACGUUACUCGCAGAAUAAGCACCGGCUAACUCUGUGCCAGCCGCCGCAGUAAGAC